ensembl:snRNA U6 U6 spliceosomal RNA
GCGCUCACUUUGGCAGCACAUAAACUAAAAUUGGAAAGGUAUGGAGAAGAUUAGUCCCUGUGCAAGGCUAACAUGUAAUUUCAUGAAGUGUUUCAUAUUUAA